rnacentral:rRNA from 1 species
UACGUAGGGUGCGAGCGUUAAUCGGAAUUACUGGGCGUAAAGCGUGCGCAGGCGGCGCGUUAAGACAGGUGUGAAAGUCCCGAGCUUAACUUGGGAAUUGCGCUUGUGACUGGCGAGCUGGAGUGUGGCAGAGGGAGGUGGAAUUCCACGUGUAGCAGUGAAAUGCGUAGAGAUGUGGAGGAACACCGAUGGCGAAGGCAGCCUCCUGGGCCAGCACUGACGCUCAUGCACGAAAGCGUGGGGAGCAAACAGG